AGGCCUUUCCACUGGAAGACAUGGAGCACGUUUCUAACAAGGAUGAUGUGAAGACCUCCCUUAGGAAAGUGGUGAAAGAGACAUCUCAUGAGAUGCUGAUGCAGUGCGUGUCCCGGGUUGUCUCACAUCCGCUGCAUGUGAUCUCCAUGCGCUGCAUGGUCCAGUUCGUAGGCCGGGAAGUUAAAUACAGGUGAGUGGCUGCAGCUCCA